rnacentral:rRNA from 1 species
AGUGAAGCACAUAAACCUGCUGAAUUUAAGCAUAUAAGUAAGUGGUGGAAAUUAAACCAAAUGGGAUUUCUUUAGUAAUUGCGAAUGAACAAGGAUAUGCUUAGCUUGACAAAUGGAGCUUUUGGCUUUGAGUUGUAUUGUGGA